GAUGAACGCUAGCUACAGGCUUAACACAUGCAAGUCGAGGGGUAACAAGAGAAAAGCUUGCUUUUCUUGUUGACGACCGGCGCACGGGUGAGUAACGCGUAUCCAACCUGCCUAUAACUAGGGAAUAACCUUGCGAAAGUAAGACUAAUACCCUAUGAUUUCCUUUGAUGACAUCAGAUUAGGAAUAAAGAUUUAUCGGUUAUAGAUGGGGAUGCGUCUGAUUAGCUUGUUGGCGGGGUAACGGCCCACCAAGGCAACGAUCAGUAUGGGUUCGGAGAGGAGGGUCCCCCACAUUGGAACUGAGACACGAUCCAAACUCCUACGGGAGUCAGCAGUGAGGAAUAUUGGUCAAUUGGCGGAAGCCUGAACAAGCCAAGUAGCGUGCAGGAUGACGGCCUUAUGGGAUGUAAACUGCUUUUAUACAGGAAUAAAGUUAGCCACGUGUGGUUAUUUGUAGGUACUGUAUGAAUAAGGACCGGCUAAUUCCGUGCCAGCAGCCGCGGUAA
rnacentral:rRNA from 1 species